rnacentral:rRNA from 1 species
CUGGGCUUUGCAUCUUCUUGUUUUUAAGACCUAGCAAUAGGUAUGCUUAGGGAGGAGCUUGCGUCACAUUAGUUAGUUGGUGGGGUAAAGGCCUACCAAGACUAUGAUGUGUAGCCGGGCUGAGAGGUUGAACGGCCACAUUGGGACUGAGACACGGCCCAAACUCCUACGGGAGGCAGCAGUAGGGAAUUUUCGGCAAUGGAGGAAACUCUGACCGAGCAACGCCGCGUGAACGAUGAAGUAUUUCGGUACGUAAAGUUCUUUUAUUAGGGAAGAAUAAAUGAUGGAAAAAUCAUUCUGACGGUACCUAAUGAAUAAGCCCCGGCUAACUAUGUGCCAGCAGCCGCGGUAAUACAUAGGGGGCAAGCGUUAUCCGGAAUUAUUGGGCGUAAAGGGUGCGUAGGCGGUUAAAUAAGUUUAUGGUCUAAGUGCAAUGCUCAACAUUGUGAUGCUAUAAAAACUGUUUAGCUAGAGUAAGAUAGAGGCAAGUGGAAUUCCAUGUGUAGUGGUAAAAUGCGUGAAUAUAUGGAGGAACACCAUUUGCCAGGUCUUUUUGCUGGGUCUUGACGGACUCUUGACGCCCGAAAGCGUUUUCCCC